UCGGGAAUUUUGGGCAAUGGGCGAAAGCCUGACCCAGCAACGCCGCGUGAAGGAUGAAGUAUUUCGGUAUGUAAACUUCGUAAGAAUAGGAAGAAUAAAUGACGGUACUAUUUGUAAGGUCCGGCUAACUACGUGCCAGCAGCCGCGGUAAUACGUAGGGACCAAGCGUUGUUCGGAUUUACUGGGCGUAAAGCGCGUGUAGGCGGACUUGUAAGUUGGGGGUGAAAUCCCGAGGCUCAACCUCGGAACUGCCUCCAAAACUACAAAUCUGGACCUAAGUAGAGGCAAGUGGAAUUGCGAGUGUAGAGGUGAAAUUCGUAGAUAUUCGCAGGAACACCAGUGGCGAAGGCGACUUGCUGGACUUAUGGUGACGCUGAGACGCGAAAGCGUGGGGAGCAAACAGGAUUAGAUACCCGUGUAGUCCCUGAGCGGGCUGGCAAGGCGCAU
rnacentral:rRNA from 1 species